rnacentral:rRNA from 1 species
AUACGGAGGGUGCGAGUGUUGUUCGGAAUUAUUGGGCGUAAAGAGCGUGUAGGCGGUUUGGUAAGUCAGGUGUGAAAGCCCUGGGCUUAACUCAGGAAGUGCACUUGAAACUACCUCACUUGAGUAUGGGAGAGGAGAGUGGAAUUCCCAGUGUAGAGGUGAAAUUCGUAGAUAUUGGGAGGAACACCCGUGGCGAAGGCGACUCUCUGGACCAAUACUGACGCUGAGACGCGAAAGCGUGGGGAGCAAACAGGAUUAGAUACCCUGGUAGUCCACGCUGUAAACGAUGAGAACUAGGUGUAGCGGGUAUUGACCCCUGCUGUGCCGGAGCUAACGCAUUAAGUUCUCCGCCUGGGGAGUACGGCCGCAAGGCUAAA